GAUGAACGCUGGCGGCGUGCUUAACACAUGCAAGUCGAGCGAAGCACUUAGGAAAGAUUCUUCGGAUGAUUUCCUAUUUGACUGAGCGGCGGACGGGUGAGUAACGCGUGGGUAACCUGCCUCAUACAGGGGGAUAACAGUUAGAAAUGACUGCUAAUACCGCAUAAGACCACAGCACCGAAUGGUGAAGGGGUAAAAACUCCGGUGGUAUGAGAUGGACACGCGUCUGAUUAGUUAGUUGGUGGGGUAACGGCCUACCAAGGCGACGAUCAGUAGCCGACCUGAGAGGGUGACCGGCCACAUUGGGACUGAGACACGGCCCAAACUCCUACGGGAGGCAGCAGUGGGGAAUAUUGCACAAUGGGGGAAACCCUGAUGCAGCGACGCCGCGUGAGCGAAGAAGUAUUUCGGUAUGUAAAGCUCUAUCAGCAGGGAAGAAAAUGACGGUACCUGACUAAGAAGCCCCGGCUAANUANGUGCCAGCCGCCGCAGUAA
rnacentral:rRNA from 1 species